UCAUUCACAAGGGUCAUAUUUGACAUAUUAUUGCCCACCAAGCCCAUUAUACCUGUUGAAAUGCCUUUAAAAAGGGGCAAUACAACUAGUAACAUGCAGUUCUUCACUUGCCAAGAACUAAUAGCAGCUCAUAGCGUCUCACUUAGAGUUGAUUUAUUUAUUCAUGUCUCAAAAAAAAAAAAAAAAAAAAAGACUUGAUUUCACUCAUGAGGGAGUUUGUGUUCAGCUCUCUUCGACGUUAUGAGAGUAAAUUCAAAUUAUCUUCACUCAUGAAAGCACCGUAACUUCAAAGUAGUUAGUUUUGGAGGAUUAAGUGACGAGCAUUUUUAAAAAUCACACCGUACCUUCACAGGGAUCCACAUGUUAUCACUCGAGGAUUAACAAGGCUACAGGUUUGCAAAACGGAGGUCAUUCUAACCCAGCAGAGGUAGAGUUACUUAAAAAAAAAAUCAAGUUGCCUCUGUCUUAUCUCUGCAGACGUACUGCAAACACGAGAGAUUAACACCGCCGACUGCUUUGGCUACAUGCAUGUUUGGGGUCUGUCCUGCCUUCAGCUGAUAAAACUAUCAGAGUUACAGCUAAUCUCUCCAGCUCCUCUGCUGGAGAAACGACCUCUGCGCAGGAGCGGCUCUGAAGCGUUCAGCCGGUUAAAUACAACCACAUUACUUUCGAGACAUUAGCGUAAUUACUGUAAACAUGAGGGGCCAUUAGAGACGAGAUAAGGAGCCUCUGGAGACGUUUCAUAUUGAGCACCGCCGGGUCGAGUUUCAUUUUCCAGUUUAGAGGAAAUAAAAGUUUACAGCACAAAACGGACAAAAAGCUUCAUGUAGAAGCUGAACUUUAUCUUUGGAUAAGAAUCAAAUAAAAGAAGAGAAAGAAGUUUUGUGGAAACGUUACUUUUAUGCCCGUCGUUGCACGUACGUACAUCAACGUUACCAAUCGUUAGCUCUUUGUUAGCGGUGCAUAAAGAAGCACUGAGACGAUGCUCGAGAACGUGCAUAAAAUUACAUCCUUUACACAAUCCAACCAGAGGCCUUCACAAGGAAAUCCACUGUCCAGCAGCAUUAAACAACUUCAACAAGAAAGCCUGCAUAGGGACGAGGUCGGGGCUGGAUGGAGGAGCUACACAGUCACAGGACCUUCACCCACGUUCGUGUCCAGCUGCAGCCAAAACCCUCAACAAGACAGUUUACUGGUGCAAUGUCUUCAAACAGAAGGCUUCACUGUUCACCAAGGAAAGAUGGACCCCCACCUUAUCAAAAUGUCCUUGCUGGUGAAUAAACCAAUGAAAAAUU